UGUCAUUUGUCAUGGUCAUGAAAUAGCCAAAUGUCAAAUUUGAAGUUUAUUGACCACAGGUUUACUGGUUUCUAGUUUCUAGUUUCUGUAAUCAUUAUAAAUAGUUAAAUAGUAUUGUUUUAGAGAUUUUUCCAUUUUAUUAUUAUAAAAAUGUCGAGUACUACACAAAAACAUCGCAACUUUGUUGUGGAGCCUAUGGGCGAUAAACCUGUAACAGAAUUAGCAGGGAUUGGGAAAGUACUUGGAGAACGCUUGAUAACUGCCGGAUUUGACAAAGCCUACGUUGUACUAGGUCAGUUCCUAGUUUUGAAAAAGAAUCAAGAACUUUUUAGGGAAUGGAUGAAAGACACUUGCUCAGCUAGUUCUAAACAAUCAUUGGAUUGUUGGCAAUGCCUCAACGAUUGGUGUGAAGAAUUUUUGUAAUUGUAUAUAGUAGACCUAAGCAUACUGUUUGUAUUACCAAGGUUUUUAUUUAUAGGAUUUUAUUCUUGUAAUGUUAAUAUGUGUAAGUCCAAACUCUCUGAAUACUUAUGAACUGUAUAUACAAAACAAAAGGCAUUUAAAUACAUUGCAUUAUUUUUCUUAAA
rnacentral:misc_RNA from 1 species